GAACAAGAGAGAGAGAGAGAGAGAGAGAGAGAGGAGAGAGAGAAGAGAGAGCUUUAACAUCGUGUAUAGUCCCAUAUUCGUUUUUUCACUUUUAAUGAAUAAAAAUUGAAAAGCCAAAAGGGAUUCUCUCUCUCUCUUUCUCUCUCUUUUCAUUCUCUAUUCGCUUUUUGGUUCUCCACUUAUUCGCUUCUUAAACUCGUUAUCCCAUAUUGGCUAUUACGGUCAUCAUUCAGUUAUACACAUUCGUGUCAUCAGAAUCAUAGAAAUAUGUGAUAAGAAUCUGGAUGUUUAAUUUAACCAAAAAAAAAAAAAAAAAAAAAAAAAAAAAAAAAAAAAAAAAGAAAAAAGAAAGGAAAAAAAAAAGAAAACA